GAGUUCCUCCAUCUACAAAUUUGUUUGAGGGCUUCUUCUCUUUACUUUACUUAUUUAUAUUUGCUAUAUUUGCUUAUGUGAGAAGCUUGUAUUUGAUUUAAACUCUUGUUUUAAUAUCUUGUAACUUGAUUCAAUCAAGGGAUUGAAUCAAGGGGUUAAGGUUUGUUGGUGAGCCAAAGGGAAAAACCAACGUUGUAAGGUUGUGGUUGGUGAGCCUUUGGGAAAACCAACUGGGUUGAUUGUGAACCCGAAAAACAAUCGUUGUAAGGUUGUGGUUGGUGAGCCUUUGGGAAAACCAACUGGGUUGGAUUGUGAGCCCGUGAAAACAAUCGGUUGGUUCUAGUCGGUGAGCCUGUGAAAACCGACCGAGUUCGUUGUGAUCUCGCAAAACAACAAGUUGGGUUGUGAGCUUGUAAAACAACCGACUGUAAUCUGAG
rnacentral:lncRNA from 1 species